GAUGAACGCUGGCGGCGUGCCUAAUACAUGCAAGUCGAGCGAACAGACGAGGAGCUUGCUCCUCUGACGUUAGCGGCGGACGGGUGAGUAACACGUGGAUAACCUACCUAUAAGACUGGGAUAACUUCGGGAAACCGGAGCUAAUACCGGAUAAUAUGUUGAAUCGCAUGGUUCAACAGUGAAAGACGGUCUUGCUGUCACUUAUAGAUGGAUCCGCGCCGCAUUAGCUAGUUGGUAAGGUAACGGCUUACCAAGGCAACGAUGCGUAGCCGACCUGAGAGGGUGAUCGGCCACACUGGAACUGAGACACGGUCCAGACUCCUACGGGAGGCAGCAGUAGGGAAUCUUCAGCAAUGGGCGAAAGCCUGACGGAGCAACGCCGCGUGAGUGAAGAAGGUCUUCGGAUCGUAAAACUCUGUUAUUAGGGAAGAACAAAUGUGUAAGUAACUAUGCACGUCUUGACGGUACCUAAGCAGAAAGCCACGGCUAACUACGU
rnacentral:rRNA from 1 species